rnacentral:rRNA from 1 species
AUUGAACGCUGGCGGCAGGCCUAACACAUGCAAGUCGAACGGUAACAGGAAGAAGCUUGCUUCUUUGCUGACGAGUGGCGGACGGGUGAGUAAUGUCUGGGAAACUGCCUGAUGGAGGGGGAUAACUACUGGAAACGGUAGCUAAUACCGCAUAACGUCGCAAGACCAAAGAGGGGGACCUUCGGGCCUCUUGCCAUCGGAUGUGCCCAGAUGGGAUUAGCUAGUAGGUGGGGUAACGGCUCACCUAGGCGACGAUCCCUAGCUGGUCUGAGAGGAUGACCAGCCACACUGGAACUGAGACACGGUCCAGACUCCUACGGGAGGCAGCAGUGGGGAAUAUUGCACAAUGGGCGCAAGCCUGAUACAGCCAUGCCGCGUGUAUGAAGAAGGCCUUCGGGUUGUAAAGUACUUUCAGCGGGGAGGAAGGGAGUAAAGUUAAUACCUUUGCUCAUUGACGUUACCCGCAGAAGAAGCACCGGCUAACUCCGUG